CGCGCACAAAAAAAUGGAAACCUACUCCGACCUCGGCACCGAUGGCGGCAACCACGCGCCGCCGCCGCCACUGGAGGUCCCUCCAUAGUUGGGCCCGACGCUCCCCCCGCUCCCCAGCCGGGUACCGCUGCCGGCGCGAGGAAGCGGAAGGCCCCGACUACGGCGACAACGAAGGCUCGCAUGCCGCAGGUUGAAGAACCGAUUCAGAUGCCUGUGUACUAUGGACUUAGAGAAAUGUUUGACAGCGUUCAGGGCGAUGAUUUAGUUGAAGAUUCGUUAGACACUUUUGUAGAGAACAACUGUGCACACGUCAUUGGCGAGCUACCGCUGCAGCCGCAGUCGAUGUCAUUGGUGGAUCUACAGCUCUGGAUCUUCAAGUUGUUCCGGCUCCAUCCAGAAACACAAGAUCUCUCUAUUAAGGUGGAUCUACUCCUACGACGACUCCUCUGAAGUGGACAAUUAUUUGGAGCACUACCCGUGGGACAUACAUUACUUUACGACUGACAUGUUCCAGGAUCUAUUUAAUGGCCACCUUCAGCUUCUUAAGCUUAACUUUGGUACUAUCAUGUUGUUACCGAAGAAGGCGGAAGU